UAGGGAAUCUUCCACAAUGGACGCAAGUCUGAUGGAGCAACGCCGCGUGAGUGAAGAAGGUCUUCGGAUCGUAAAGCUCUGUUGUUGGUGAAGAAGGAUAGAGGCAGUAACUGGUCUUUAUUUGACGGUAAUCAACCAGAAAGUCACGGCUAACUACGUGCCAGCAGCCGCGGUAAUACGUAGGUGGCAAGCGUUGUCCGGAUUUAUUGGGCGUAAAGCGAGCGCAGGCGGAAUGAUAAGUCUGAUGUGAAAGCCCACGGCUCAACCGUGGAACUGCAUCGGAAACUGUCAUUCUUGAGUGCAGAAGAGGAGAGUGGAACUCCAUGUGUAGCGGUGGAAUGCGUAGAUAUAUGGAAGAACACCAGUGGCGAAGGCGGCUCUCUGGUCUGCAACUGACGCUGAGGCUCGAAAGCAUGGGUAGCGAACAGGAUUAGAUACCCUGGUAGUCCAUGCCGUAAACGAUGAGCGCUAGGUGUUGGGGACUUUCCGGUCCUCAGUGCCGCAGCAAACGCAUUAAGCGCUCCGCCUGGGGAGUACGACCGCAGGGUUGAAAC
rnacentral:rRNA from 1 species